GAAAAAUUAUUUCCAGGAGUAAAGUCUGAAGUCCAAAUUCGCGAAAAUUUGUUUCCGCGAACUCGAAAAAUCCCAACCCUAGACCAUUAAUUACGUGUCGUUUUUCAAUGCUAUAGAUAUAUCUUGGACUUUUGCCUUUCGACGUGUUGAUUCAAGAAGGCUUAUUCGAUAUCCAUAAGUGAGUAUGAGGGUGGUUCGGGAAGUUAAAGUAAACCCUACUUACAAUGUUUCCGCUACAGCCAUUGCAAAUUGAUUAAGUAGUUAUUUUUAACGCGAUUAUAUUAUGAUAAACAAGAGGAUCGUCACUCGGAAAUGCGCAAAACGAGAUGCAAUAAGACGUCAGUGUCAGUAAUUUUACCUCCUGGGUAACUUUUUUUGCUUUAUAAGAGAGUGUCCUUCCCAAUAAGUUUCGUUGCUUCAGUUUGGACCACAGCUACUGGGUGGCAACCAUUUUAGAGCAAUUUGUGCUGCAUCAAUUUGCGAUACGUGUUUAACAAACAAUUGACAAUCUCGAAAGCCCCGUGCUCGAUUGGUCAACUGUUCAAGACAAGACGACAAUUUUUCACACCUGCACAGUUUCUACACUGAACACCCAAACGAUGAAGACGAACUUCAUUCUAGUGGUGAUGGUACUGUUUUUAGUACCAGUGGCAACUGCUUUCUUUUCCUUAAGUGACUGCGAGAGCCUUUGUCACUAUGAAGUCAAGCAUUGCUCACAAAAUUGCUUUUUACGACGUUGCUUCAAGUACUGUGAUGACACGUUCAGUGAAUGCAAAGAGGCCUGUGUAAAACGGAGCAAGGAGGACCCAGAUUCCAACCGUAAAGUAGCCAAAUGAAGUAAACAAUAGCUGAAGGCUUCUUGCAGAAGAAUCCACUAAAUGAUUUAUGUUCAUUGUAUUUGAACGUCCUGUGUACGAAGUUGAAAUAAACGCCACGUUUUUCUCACUAACCGUCUCUGAUUCAUAACUGAAUCAUCCAAAGUUCCUCUUCAAACAUGUAAAACGUGCCCGUUUAAUACAGAAUUCAUCUGAAAAAAAUGGUUUCACUUUACUUUUUUAAACACCCUUACCUCCCCAGGGGACUACUCUCGAAGGUUUUAUACAGGGACUCUCCGCCCCGAGGUUCAACCCCUUACCCUUUUGUAUUCCACUUUGACUGGCAGAAAAAAUACCCCUUUCGUAUACCAUUUAUUGAAAAAGGUACCUCUUUCACAUACCUACUUUAGAACACUGCAUCCCUUUUCUAAACCCUUGGAAUGAAGUUAGGAAAAAUAUUAUAGGAGAACACCAAGCAAUGUGUUUGAACUUCCUGUCGGUACGAAGUUGAAAUAAACGCCACGUUUUUCUCA